rnacentral:rRNA from 1 species
UACGUAGGGGGCAAGCGUUGUCCGGAAUCAUUGGGCGUAAAGAGCGCGUAGGCGGCCCUGUAAGUCCGCUGUGAAAGUCAAGGGCUCAACCCUUGAAUGCCGGUGGAUACUGCAGGGCUAGAGUCCGGAAGAGGCGAGUGGAAUUCCUGGUGUAGCGGUGAAUGCGCAGAUAUCAGGAGGAACACCUAUAGCGAAGGCAGCUCGCUGGGACGACACUGACGCUGAGACGCGAAAGCGUGGGGAGCGAACAGG